rnacentral:rRNA from 1 species
AGUGAACGCUGGCGGUAGGCCUAACACAUGCAAGUCGAACGGCAGCACAGUAAGAGCUUGCUCUUACGGGUGGCGAGUGGCGGACGGGUGAGGAAUACAUCGGAAUCUACUUUUUCGUGGGGGAUAACGUAGGGAAACUUACGCUAAUACCGCAUACGACCUACGGGUGAAAGCAGGGGAUCUUCGGACCCUGCGCGAUUGAAUGAGCCGAUGUCGGAUUAGCUAGUUGGCGGGGUAAAGGCCCACCAAGGCGACGAUCCGUAGCUGGUCUGAGAGGAUGAUCAGCCACACUGGAACUGGGACACGGUCCAGACUCCUACGGGAGGCAGCAGUGGGGAAUAUUGGACAAUGGGCGCAAGCCUGAUCCAGCCAUACCGCGUGGGUGAAGAAGGCCUUCGGGUUGUAAAGCCCUUUUGUUGGGAAAGAAAAGCAGCAGGUUAAUACCCCGCUGUUCUGACGGUACCCAAAGAAUAAGCACCGGCUAACUUCGUG